UUUCAGUACUGCCGCUUGCUUGAGAGUCUAAGCCUUCUAGAAAGAGAUGCGCCCUGCCCCAAGCCCUGCACAAAGGCAGCCAGCCGGUUUCCCUCUUUCUGGAGCAGGGCAUGACGGUAAAUCUCUCUCCUAAUCCCAGAUGCAGAGGGGCAUACUUCAGAAAGUCAAAGAUGCUGUGAAUUUGGAAGCCCGAGGAAACACAUUAAUUCCUGAAGUUUAGAUUGCUGGAAGAAGUGGAUGAGCCAAAGGGAAAGCCUUUUCCACAGAGAAAAUGCUUUCAACAACUGCGUGAAGUGUCUGUUCUGGAGACAAGGCCUUGGGUGGCUACUAUAUGGAUUCCUGUUAAAUGUGAACCUGUCGGCACAGACCUCUCAAAAAACUAAUGUCUCCAAUGUAGCCUGCUGUCCACACGCUCAUCUGGAAAGUCAAGUCAUUCAAGUAGAAAGGAAUAAAUUGAUUGAAGAGGAAGCUGGGGAAAGCAGUAUUUUAAUCUUUCUGAAACCGGGCAGGCAACAAUGAAGGCUUCAUGCUCAUAUAAGAAGACAAUUUAAGAAGGAAUUCAGGGACAAUGAGAAUCCCUUGGAAGAGAUUCCUGGAAAAGUUUCUGGACUCAACUUCUCUGAGAAGUUAUAAGGGAAUCCUUUUUUGUUA